rnacentral:rRNA from 1 species
UACAGAGGUCCCAAGCGUUGUUCGGAUUCACUGGGCGUAAAGGGUGCGUAGGUGGCCGGUUAAGUCUGACGUGAAAUCUCCGAGCCUAACUCGGAAACUGCAUCGGAAACUAUCCGGCUCGAGGGUUGGAGGGGGGACUGGAAUACUUGGUGUAGCAGUGAAAUGCGUAGAUAUCAAGUGGAACACCAGUGGCGAAGGCGAGUCCCUGGACAACUCAUGACACUGAGGCACGAAAGCUAGGGGAGCAAACAGG